UACGUAGGGGGCUAGCGUUGUCCGGAUUUAUUGGGCGUAAAGAGCGUGUAGGCGGCCAGGUAGGUCCGUUGUGAAAACUCGAGGCUCAACCUCGAGACGUCGGCGGAAACCCUCUGGCUAGAGUCCGGAAGAGGAGAGUGGAAUUCCUGGUGUAGCGGUGAAAUGCGCAGAUAUCAGGAGGAACACCGGUGGCGAAGGCGGCUCACUGGUCCGGUACUGACGCUGAUGUGCGAAAGCGUGGGGAGCAAACAGG
rnacentral:rRNA from 1 species